CCUACGGGAGGCAGCAGUGGGGAAUUUUGGACAAUGGGCGCAAGCCUGAUCCAGCAAUGCCGCGUGCAGGAUGAAGGCCUUCGGGUUGUAAACUGCUUUUGUACGGAGCGAAACGGUCAACUUUAAUACAGUGGGCUAAUGACGGUACCGUAAGAAUAAGCACCGGCUAACUACGUGCCAGCAGCCGCGGUAAUACGUAGGGUGCGAGCGUUAAUCGGAAUUACUGGGCGUAAAGCGUGCGCAGGCGGUUAUAUAAGACAGAUGUGAAAUCCCCGGGCUCAACCUGGGACCUGCAUUUGUGACUGUAUAGCUAGAGUACGGUAGAGGGGGAUGGAAUUCCGCGUGUAGCAGUGAAAUGCGUAGAUAUGCGGAGGAACACCGAUGGCGAAGGCAAUCCCCUGGACCUGUACUGACGCUCAUGCACGAAAGCGUGGGGAGCAAACAGGAUUAGAUACCCUGGUAGUCCACGCCCUAAACGAUGUCAACUGGUUGUUGGGUCUUCACUGACUCAGUAACGAAGCUAACGCGUGAAGUUGACCGCCUGGGGAGUACGGCCGCAAGGUUGAAACUCAAAGUAGUAGUAGACGNGAGAGAGACGACGACGGACGACGAGGAGGAGGAG
rnacentral:rRNA from 1 species